rnacentral:lncRNA from 1 species
UAUGAAUUUUAAAUUUAAAUUUAUAUAAAGUUUUAUUCAAAUUUUAUUUAAAACUUAAAUUAAAUUUAUGGAUUCAAAUUAAAAUUUAAAUUGUAAUUUUAAGUUUGAAUUUGAAUAAAUUGAAAUUUAGUUUUAUAUUUCGAAUUAUCCACUCAACUUCAAAGUUUAAUUUUUGUAAAAAAAUAGAUUUAAAAUUUUGACAUCAUUUCAAAAUUUUGAUGUAAAAUUUUAAUAUUUAAUUUUUAAUUUAAAUUUAAAUUAAUAUAUUAUAAAGAUAAAGUUAAUAUAUUAAUAUGAUUACGUUUUUUAUAUUUACCUGAACCAAACACCGACAAUGGGAAUGAUCUAUUCCGAUUCCGAUUCCAGCUUAUUUUGAUUUCGAUUCCAACUUCGAACCAAACAUGCCUUUAAAGUGAAAAAAAUACGAAACUCUAAAAAUGAUAUUUAAAAUUUGCCCUAAAAUAAAAUUAAAACUGAAAUAUAACAAC